rnacentral:rRNA from 1 species
UACAGAGGUGGCAAGCGUUGUUCGGAAUUACUGGGCGUAAAGGGCGCGUAGGCGGUCUUGCAAGUCCUGUGUGAAAUCCCUCGGCUCAACUGAGGAACUGCACAGGAAACUGCUUGGCUUGAGUUCGGGAGAGGGAAGCGGAAUUCCGGGUGUAGCGGUGAAAUGCGUAGAUAUCCGGAGGAACACCGGUGGCGAAGGCGGCUUCCUGGACCGACACUGACGCUGAGGAGCGAAAGCGUGGGGAGCGAACAGG